rnacentral:rRNA from 1 species
GGGGCUUAAUUUGACUCAACGCGGGAAAUCUUACCGGGUCCGGACACACUGAGGAUUGACAGGCAAUAUCUAAAUCGUUUAUAAUUCCUAUUAUAAUACGUAUUUAGUGUUAAAUAUGCUAGUCCUUUCAUGAUUAUGUGAUAGGUGGUGCAUGGCCGUUCUUAGUUCGUGGAGUGAUCUGUCUGCUUAAUUGCGUUUCACUAAGGGCCCAUAAAUUCAAGGUAUGUUAGCUAUCGUUUCUCAAUUGACCCCUUGUCUUCGAUAAGCGCGUGUCUUUUAGAGUUUAAACAUUGCGCAUGCUGUUGGGUCCUGAAAGCAACGAACGUGACCGCAACGUCUUAUUGCCUUUAUCUUGCUAUAUUUUAAUUUAAUUAAAAAUAGCUAACAGAGGCUAAUUUAAAAUUAGACGGACCGCUGUACUUUUCUUAAACCAGAGGAAGGUUGCGGCAAUAACAGG